rnacentral:rRNA from 1 species
UACGGAGGGUGCAAGCGUUAAUCGGAAUUACUGGGCGUAAAGCGCGCGUAGGCGGUCUUGUAAGUCGGAUGUGAAAGCCCCGGGCUUAACCUGGGAACUGCAUUCGAUACUGCUUGACUAGAGUAUGGUAGAGGGUAGCGGAAUUCCGGGUGUAGCGGUGAAAUGCGUAGAUAUCCGGAGGAACACCAGUGGCGAAGGCGGCUACCUGGACCAAUACUGACGCUGAGGUGCGAAAGCGUGGGGAGCAAACAGG